GGCGCGGUAGCCAAGCGGUAAGGCAGAGGUCUGCAAAACCUUUAUUCGGCGGUUCGAUUCCGCCCCGCGCCUCCA
rnacentral:tRNA from 1 species